rnacentral:rRNA from 1 species
ACGCUCGACACCUACAGGAGGCAGCAGUGGGGAAUAUUGCACAAUGGGGGAAACCCUGAUGCAGCAACGCCGCGUGAAGGAAGACGGUUUUCGGAUUGUAAACUUCUGUUCUUAGUGAAGAUAGUGACGGUAGCUAAGGAGCAAGCCACGGCUAACUACGUGCCAGCAGUCGCGGUAAUCUGAGCGGGCUGGCAAGGC